rnacentral:rRNA from 1 species
UACGAGGAGGGCAAGCGUUGUUCGGAAUUACUGGGCGUAAAGGGCGCGUAGGCGGCCUGUUAAGUCGGACGUGAAAUCCCUCGGCUCAACCGGGGAACUGCGUCCGAUACUGGCGGGCUUGAAUUCGGGAGAGGGAUGUGGAAUUCCAGGUGUAGCGGUGAAAUGCGUAGAUAUCUGGAGGAACACCGGUGGCGAAGGCGGCAUCCUGGACCGACAUUGACGCUGAGGCGCGAAAAGCCAGGGG